rnacentral:rRNA from 1 species
CGUAGGAGACAAACGUUAUCCGGAGUUACUGGGCGUAAAGGGCGUGUAGGUGGUUUCGUAAGUCUGGCGUGAAAUUUUUCGGCUUAACCGGGAAAGGUCGUCGGAUACUGCGGAACUAGAGGACGGUAGAGGCGUGUGGAAUUCCGGGUGUAGUGGUGAAAUGCGUAGAGAUCCGGAGGAACACCAGUGGCGAAGGCGACACGCUGGGCCGUACCUGACACUGAUGCGCGACAGCAUGGGGAGCAAACAGGAUUAGAAACCCUGGUAGUCCAUGCCGUAAACGAUGCUAGCUGGGUGUUCAGGGGGGAAACCCCUCGGGGUACCGAAGUCAACACGGUAAGCUAGCCGCCUGGGGAGUACGGUCGCAAGAUUA